rnacentral:rRNA from 1 species
UACGUAGGGUGCGAGCGUUAAUCGGAAUUACUGGGCGUAAAGGGUGCGCAGGCGGUUCUGCAAGUCAGGCGUGAAAGCCCCGGGCUCAACCUGGGAAUGGCAAUGGAAACUGGCGGGCUAGAGUGUGGCAGAGGGGGGUGGAAUUCCGCGUGUAGCAGUGAAAUGCGUAGAGAUGCGGAGGAACACCGAUGGCGAAGGCAGCCCCCUGGGCCAAUACUGACGCUCAGGCACGAAAGCGUGGGGAGCAAACAGG